UUUUCUUUCUUCUUCUUCUUCUUCUUUCUUUUCUUUCUUCUUUUCUUUUCUUUCUUUUCUUUCUUUCUUUCCUUUUUCCCUUCACUGCGCCUGCGUCUUCAUUUCUGGCGAGACAGCAGGUGAUCGCGCCACCCAGCCACCGUGCGCCACCGCCGCACCUUGCUGUCGCAGUCGAUCCGCCAUCGCCACCCUCCUCUCCGGCCACCAACCUCCAUUUCCGGUUAACCAAAAAGUCCGGCAACAAUAUAUUGGAUCGCCCGGGUCCAUUCUUAGUGCUCCUCCAGGACAGAAUCAAAGCUAGAACUUCGCUCUCCAUCACAGUACUAGGAAGCAGCUGAUUCGGCUGAAGCUCUGCAAUCUUCUCUGCAGAGUUACAAAUGUAAACUUUAUAUUCAUGUUAUUUAAUUUUGGAUGUAUAAAUUAUUCUGUUAUCAGAUUA